GAAUUUAGCGCAUCUUUUCGAAGAGCGUGACCCCACUCUAUACACUGUGCACUCAUUGGCGGGAGAGCGAGUAUGUUUCACGACGUCUCAAUCUUCUGCGGCUCACUAUAAACACCAGUACAAGUAUGUAAAUAAAAAAAAAUAAGAAAAACUUUCAACAACGGAUCUCUUGGCUCU
rnacentral:misc_RNA from 1 species